AACCCAUGAUGAGGGAUUCAUCUCAAAAGACCAUUGUAUCUCUCUCACGCAUCAUAUAAAGUCUCUAAAUCGAUCUAAACAAAAGAAGAGAUGUCAUUCCUCAAAUU
rfam:Gossypium raimondii Chr11_contig_1005, whole genome shotgun sequence.